AACGAACGCUGGCGGCAGGCCUAACACAUGCAAGUCGAACGUGAAGCCACCUUCGGGUGGUGGAAAGUGGCAGACGGGUGAGUAACGCGUGGGAACGUGCCUUUCGGUUCGGGAUAACCCAGGGAAACUUGGGCUAAUACCGGAUACGCCCUCCGGGGGAAAGAUUCAUUGCCGAAAGAUCGGCCCGCGUCGGAUUAGCUAGUUGGUGGGGUAAAAGCCCACCAAGGCUACGAUCCGUAGCUGGUCUGAGAGGAUGACCAGCCACACUGGGACUGAGAGCAGGCCCAGACUCCUACGGGAGGCAGCAGUGGGGAAUAUUGGACAAUGGGCGCAAGCCUGAUCCAGCCAUGCCGCGUGGGUGAAGAAGGCCCUAGGGUUGUAAACCCCUUUCAGCGGGGAAGAUAAUGACGGUACCCGCAGAAGAAGCCCCGGCUAACUCCGUGCCAGCAGCCGCAGUAACAC
rnacentral:rRNA from 1 species